rnacentral:rRNA from 1 species
GACGUAGGAUGCGAGCGUUGUCCGGAUUUAUUGGGCGUAAAGAGUUCGUAGGUGGUUCGUUAAGUCUGGUGUUAAAGACUGGGGCUCAACCCUGGAAGUGCAUUGGAUACUGGCGGACUGGAGUGCAGUAGAGGCAAGCGGAAUUCCCAGUGUAGCGGUGAAAUGCGUAGAUAUUGGGAAGAACACCCGUGGCGAAGGCGGCACUCUGGGACGGUACUGACGCUGAGACGCGAAAGCGUGGGGAGCGAACAGG